GUUUUUGGGCUUCUGACACCUAUAUGACGUGACUGAAAAAUAGCAUAACAUGGGACCUUUAAUUUUUGUUGGUUUCUUAAAUUGUGUCUUGUUUCUAUUUACAGCAGAGGUCAUCGCCUGAAGUCAGCAAGCACACUGUGGAUGAGAGCGACAGAUCUCAGAGGUCAUCGCCUGAAGUCAGCAAGCACACUGUGGAUGAGAGCGACAGAUCUCAGCUGUCAUCUGGUCCUGUGGAUACAUCAAUCAUGGAAGAUAAGAUCAGCUUCAACAGCAGCAAUCCUGGGGCAAAUAACAGCCACUUCUCAUCUUUCAAUUCUCGAAUGGCCAAACUGAGUAAGCACCAUGAGGAAUGCUUCAAUCGACACAAAAUUGCAGAGGAGCAGCGAAAUGCUGAAGAAAAACGACGUACUGCGAUUCUGUUAAAGCGUGCACGGCUGGCACGGGAACUGGCAGAACUGGAUGCUCUUCUGACUUCACAAUCUCCCUUGGGUGAUGCCAUAGAGGACGAGUGUGAUGAUAUUCAACCACUAGCAUCAGACGCUCCAUCUGCGGAUGAAUCCACAAUGGCCAGUGAUCUAGUGGACAGUGGAGAGCCAUCAGCAACAACAGAGGCAAGAGCUCCUGUUAUGUGUUCAUCAUCAUCAUCAUCAUCAGUUUGUCCGAAUUCUGAGGAUUUUUCAGCGGAUGACUCCAAAUGGAAGUCAUUACGACAGAGAAAGCGCAGCGGACAGUAA
ensembl:lncRNA